GAUGAACGCUGGCGGCGUGCUUAACACAUGCAAGUCGAACGGAAAGGCUCCUGCUUGCAGGGGUACUCGAGUGGCGAACGGGUGAGUAACACGUGGGUGAUCUGCCCUGCACUUCGGGAUAAGCCUGGGAAACUGGGUCUAAUACCGGAUAGGACGAUGUUUGUGAUGCCAUUGUGGAAAGUUUUUUCGGUGUGGGAUGAGCUCGCGGCCUAUCAGCUUGUUGGUGGGGUCAUGGCCUACCAAGGCGUCGACGGGUAGCCGGCCUGAGAGGGUGUACGGCCACAUUGGGACUGAGAUACGGCCCAGACUCCUACGGGAGGCAGCAGUGGGGAAUAUUGCACAAUGGGCGCAAGCCUGAUGCAGCGACGCAGCGUGGGGGAUGACGGCCUUCGGGUUGUAAACUCCUUUCGCUAGGGACGAAGCGCAAGUGACGGUACCUGGAGAAGAAGCACCGGCUAACUACGUG
rnacentral:rRNA from 1 species